UACGUAGGGUGCGAGCGUUAAUCGGAAUUACUGGGCGUAAAGCGUGCGCAGGCGGUCCUUUAAGUCUGAUGUGAAAGCCCACGGCUCAACCGUGGAGGGUCAUUGGAAACUGGGGGACUUGAGUGCAGAAGAGGAGAGUGGAAUUCCACGUGUAGCGGUGAAAUGCGUAGAGAUGUGGAGGAACACCAGUGGCGAAGGCGACUCUCUGGUCUGUAACUGACGCUGAGGCGCGAAAGCGUGGGGAGCAAACAGG
rnacentral:rRNA from 1 species